rnacentral:rRNA from 1 species
GGGUUGUGAGGUUAAGCGACUAAGCGUACACGGUGGAUGCCCUGGCAGUCAGAGGCGAUGAAGGACGUGCUAAUCUGCGAUAAGCGUCGGUAAGGUGAUAUGAACCGUUAUAACCGGCGAUUUCCGAAUGGGGAAACCCAGUGUGUUUCGACACACUAUCAUUAACUGAAUCCAUAGGUUAAUGAGGCGAACCGGGGGAACUGAAACAUCUAAGUACCCCGAGGAAAAGAAAUCAACCGAGAUUCCCCCAGUAGCGGCGAGCGAACGGGGAGCAGCCCAGAGCCUGAAUCAGUGUGUGUGUUAGUGGAAGCGUCUGGAAAGGCGCGCGAUACAGGGUGACAGCCCCGUACACAAAAAUGCACAUGCUGUGAGCUCGAUGAGUAGGGCGGGACACGUGGUAUCCUGUCUGAAUAUGGGGGGACCAUCCUCCAAGGCUAAAUACUCCUGACUGACCGAUAGUGAACCAGUACCGUGAGGGAAAGGCGAAAAGAACCCCGGCGAGGGGAGUGAAAAAGAACCUGAAACCGUGUACGUACAAGCAGUGGGAGCCUCUUUAUGGGGUGACUGCGUACCUUUUGUAUAAUGGGUCAGCGACUUAUAUUCUGUAGCAAGGUUAACCGAAUAGGGGAGCCGAAGGGAAACCGAGUCUUAACUGGGCGUUAAGUUGCAGGGUAUAGACCCGAAACCCGGUGAUCUAGCCAUGGGCAGGUUGAAGGUUG